GUUCGAUGUCUUUAUUAUUAAAAGUUUUGUAUAUGUGGCAACAUUGUUGUAUAGUUCCACCGAUAACGGUAGGGAAGCCAGUCUUCCAUCAGCUCUGCACGUGGUAGCACGUAGUCGUCAAUAAAUGAUAAAAAUACAGUGCACAAUUUUUAUUAUAAAAAAUUAAAGUACCCACGAAAACCAGCCCAAAUAAAACAGUGAACUCAAUCCUAUAUUGAUAUAACUUGGAUGAAUCAGCACUCAGUUAAAAUAGAUAAACAGAUUGACAAUAUCGGCAAAUCUAUGGUUCAUUAGAAAUACGAUUAUGACGUAUAUUUAUAGACAAACAGAUAACUUAAAAAAUCAUAUUAGUAGGAAUUCAAACUAUUAAACUAAUCCAUGGCUAAUAUUCGCUCCGAAUGUGACUGCAGCGCCACAGUGAAUAUGAACUACGGGAGGCUGUCAGAGCAUGUUAUUAUUACGUUUUUCAAUAAUAAACAGAAAAAUUUUGGAAUAAAAGUAUAAUAAAUAGUAAUAAAUUAGUCGUCAAAAAUAAAUGUGACAAUUUAAUACUUUUUAAUACUAAAAUUUUAUGGCUGGAACAAGCCAAAAACACAAUUAAACCAAAAACAUGUAUAUUAUUAUAAAAACAGGAUUUCAGUCCAUCAGCCAUCAAAUAAAAUUUCAACCAGAAACUAUGACCCAGGAUAAAAAUAUUGUUCUUGCUGGACAUGUGAGAGAAGUUGAGAAACAUCGACGAAACUUUGACAGCUUUUUAAUAAAGUUCUGAAAUUUAGAUACUAGUAAUAAAGAAGAUGAAAGUACAUCUGAAAAACCAAGCUUUACUGGAAAUAAUCUUGUAAAUAUUUUAAUAUAAUAAUUUAUUUUCUAUGGUGUAUAAUGGUGUAAAAGUAAAAGUGAGUAAAAACUAAAAAGUGUUAUUGUGUGAUAGAAUAAUGUCUAUUUAAAAGAAUUUUAUUAUUAGUUACUAAUUUGUUAGUUGUAAACAAGUUGAAAAGAAUAUAACUGUAAAUUACAAUAAGACUAAUUAUUAAUUUUAUUAAAAGCCUACAAUAAGUUUAAAAUUUCUUACAAA